rnacentral:misc_RNA from 1 species
AACGCACAUUGCGCCCCCUGGUAUUCCGGGGGGCAUGCCCGUUCGAGCGUCAUUACACCACUCCAGCCUCGCUGGGUAUUGGGCGUCUCGCGGAGGAGCAAUCCACCGCGCGCCUCAAAGUCUCCGGCUGAGCGGUCUCGUCUCCUAAGCGUUGUGGCAUUUACAGUAUCGCCUUCGGAGUGCGGGCGGCCGCGGCCGUUAAAUCUUUCAAAGGUUGACCUCGGAUCAGGUAGGGAUACCCGCUGAACUUAA